rnacentral:rRNA from 1 species
UGGGGAAUAUUGCGCAAUGGGCGAAAGCCUGACGCAGCGACGCCGCGUGGGGGAUGAAGGCCUUCGGGUUGUAAACCCCUUUCAGCAGGGACGAAGCGAAAGUGACGGUACCUGCAGAAGAAGCGCCGGCUAACUACGUGCCAGCAGCCGCGGUAACACGUAGGGCGCAAGCGUUGUCCGGAAUUAUUGGGCGUAAAGAGCUCGUAGGUGGUCUGCUGCGUCCGCUGUGAAAACCCAAGGCUUAACCUUGGGCUUGCAGUGGAUACGGGCAGACUAGAGGUAGGUAGGGGAGAAUGGAAUUCCCGGUGUAGCGGUGAAAUGCGCAGAUAUCGGGAGGAACACCGGUGGCGAAGGCGGUUCUCUGGGCCUUACCUGACACUGAGGAGCGAAAGCGUGGGGAGCGAACAGGAUUAGAUACCCCCGUAGUCC